UACGUAGGGGGCUAGCGUUGUCCGGAAUCAUUGGGCGUAAAGAGCGUGUAGGCUGCUCGGUAAGUCCGCUGUAAAAGUCAAAGGCUCAACCUUUGAAUGUCAGUGGAUACUGCCGGGCUAGAGUCCGGAAGAGGCGAGUGGAACUCCUGGUGUAGCGGUGGAAUGCGCAGAUAUCAGGAGGAACACCGGUGGCGAAGGCGGGAUCCUGGGCCAGUACUGACGCUGAGGAGCGAAAGCGUGGGGAGCAACAGG
rnacentral:rRNA from 1 species